rnacentral:tRNA from 1 species
AGAAAUUUUAAGUUAAAAAAACUACAAGCCUUCAAAGCUUACAAUAAAUCCCCAUGUUUAAAUCUC